CUCCAGUCAUAGAGAUGCAAGUGUAGAUACACAGUAAGAGUAGUAUGAAUGGCAGACACCUUGGAAGGCUAUUUCUUCCUUCAUUCAUUCAGUUGGUCACUCAAUGAACUAUCAUGAAUUGAGCACUACCUCUGUUUCUUAUCAACAAAGGAGACUACGGAAAGGAAGAAUGACUAAGAUCUCUGAAGAAGGGAAAAGCUAGAUGACUGGGCCACAAGAGGAAAAAAAGCAGCAAGACAGAGAAUAAGUACCCACUGCACUCUUGCCCUGGGCCAUCAAUGAGAAGAUCUGCUCUUAGUGGAGCCCUGCUUUCGCGGUGAAGGCCUUGAAGUCGCGUGUGUUCUAGACUGCCCACUAAGGAUGAAAAAAGAUGCUGUGAGAUGAAGAAGUAGCUCAAGUGGUGGAGUGCUCGCUUAGCAUGUGAGAGGUAGUGGGAUUGAUGCCCACAUUCUCCAGGUUUCACUAGUCGGACCUCAGGUCUCCAGGUUACAGUGGAAAAAAAUAUGUGUUAGACACUGAUCUCAGAAAACAGUAAGUUAGACACUCAUCUCAGUAGCAGCCUGGACACUUCUUUGGCUCAUUAUGUAAGGGCAGCAACAAUACGGGCUUGACUAAGAUUCUACUGGUAUGUGGUAUAGUAUAGAUCUAUCGAUGUGUAAUUAGUUUUCUGUUUCUUUGAGGAGCUGUGAUACAAAGGGACAUAUCCAGUUGCACUUAUUCUCCCUGUUUCCUCCUGCAGCUUGGUCCUAAAUGCAGCAUAAUUAUGGAAAGCGCAGGGCAGAGCCACUCAGGUAAAUACAGCCCCAGCUUUCUGAUCGGGAGACCGAAACUAGGAGUUGCCAAGUAACCAGGAAAGACACUGUGGAGAGCAAACCUGUCAAGUUGUAUGUGAACUCCUGGAUGCGCCUGUGAGCUGUGAAUAAGUGGCUCUGAUCAAAGACAACUUAUCUAAAAAGAGCCUGAGAAUCGAACUAAGUGAUAGCCUACUUUCCAGUCCUCACUGGCCACUGGGUUGCACAUACUCCAGAGUCUCUGAAUAGCAGUGUUAAGGCUUUGAAAAUAGAAUCGACUUUGAAACUACAACACACAAGGCUGGCUGGUUAUUGGAACUUGAACACAAGGCAAUCACAUGCCUGCAAAAACAAAAAUAGCAAUAUUAUCCUUAAGAUUUCAACAAGACACAGUGUCUCAUCACAUAAUGCAAAGUACAACCCCAAAAUAUUCAGCAUAUGAAGAACCAGGGCAAUCUUAAUUCACUUGGCAAAGAGAAUCCUCGAAUAACAAUACUGAGAAGACACAGAUGUUACAAUCAUCUGACACAUACUUUUAAGCAGUUAUUACAACAAUGCUCCAUGAAUGAAAGGAUAACACUCUUGAAGUGAAUGGAAAGUUGGGAAGUCUUAGCAAGUAUCUGGAAGCUCUAAACACUGAUUUUAAACUUAAAAAUUAAAAAAUGUAUUCAUCAAAACUAUUAGGAGAAAAAAAACUUCAAUGGGUUAUUUCAAUAACAAAAUUGAGACACUCAGAAUAAAGUCAAUGAACUUGAAAACAGAACAAAAAUACCAACCUAACCUGAACAAUAGAGAAAAAGGAGUGCUUUUGCAAAUGAACAGAGCCUCCCGGACAAACAGAAAAAUAAGAAAAAUCUAACACAUCAUUGUAAUCCUGCAGGAAGAAGAGAAAGAGGUCCUCCAGAAAGAAAACUCCGAAGAAUUAAUGGCUGAAAACAUAUCAAAUUUAUCAAAACACUUUAGAAGUUCAAUAAAUGUCAAGUAGGUUAAACCCAAAGAAAUCCAUACCCAGACACAUCAUAAUCAAACUGCUGAAAACUAAGGAAAACCAUAAAAAUCUUGAAGGCAGCCAAAUGAAAAUAAAAGGGAAACUGCCACUUGAAUGACUGUGGACUUCUCAUCAGAAACCAUAGGGGCCCAAGGAAACAUUUACUAAAUACCAAAAGAAAAGACCUGUCAACCCAGAAUGCUAUGUAGAGCAAAAAUAUCUUUCAGACUAAAGGUAAAUAAAUACAUUCUCACAGGAAGGUAAACUGAGAGAAUUCAUUGCUGGUAGAACUGCUGGACAAGAAUUAGCAACGAUUUAAGAUGAGAAAAAUGAUACCAGAAAGAGACAGGACACCAUCAGUGAAGGAACGAAAGCCGAAAUAGAAAAUGUCUGGGUAGACAUUACAGACUAUUAUUCUUCUCUUGAGUUCCUUAAGGAUCCCGACUCAGAUUGAAAAAGCAGAGGAUGGUCACUGCCUUCCAGGUCUGAGGCUGUCUCCCAGAAACUUCAUUCCUCGCUUCGCCUUGGUUCUCCAUCACUUUCUGAGUCCUACAGGAGGA
rnacentral:lncRNA from 1 species